AUGACUUUCGGCCUCUGCUUUCGGUGCUUGGCGUUGGACCACUUCGUCGCGGGCUGCCGCGGCCCUGUCCGGUGCUUGGGAUGUGGCCACUCCGGCCAUCGCGAGCGGGAGUGCUUGGCACAACAUCUUGCCGACAGCCCUGCGACUGAUGGUGUCGUGCCGGUGGCUGACCCCGGCGUGCCUCCUACUGUUUUGGAGCCCUUGCGGCCUCUCCUUGCAGCUCAGGCGGAGGCGCUCGGCGCUGAGCUACAUGCCUUGUUCACUGCUCAUCUUGAGGAGCUGUUCAAGCCUCUUCAAGACUUGGUUGCUGCUGUGGAGAGUUGGACUGCUCAAGUCUCAAGCCUAUGGGAACCUAUGGAAGCUAUCGGGGGCAGCCAAGACCUUGCCAAUGUUGAAUCUGCUCCUCCUGCUGUGGCCGUUGGUGAGGAUUGCAGUGCACUUGUUGUGGCUGGCUGCUCAGCUGAGUUGAGUGAGAAGGCUCAGUCCGUUGAUGAUCCGCCUGCCUUGGAAAAGGUCAUGCUCGAGGAUGAUCCUCCUGACUUGGCUUCUGUCCUACCCGGGAUGGUGAGUCAAGGCGUGGAGUAG
rnacentral:rRNA from 1 species